rnacentral:rRNA from 1 species
UACGGCGAGUGAAGCGGCAAGAGCUCAAAUUUGAAAGCUGGCUCCUUCGGGGUCCGCAUUGUAAUUUGCAGAGGAUGCUUCGGGAGCGGUCCCCAUCUAAGUGCCCUGGAACGGGACGUCAUAGAGGGUGAGAAUCCCGUAUGGGAUGGGGUGUCCGCGCCCGUGUGAAGCUCCUUCGACGAGUCGAGUUGUUUGGGAAUGCAGCUCUAAAUGGGUGGUAAAUUUCAUCUAAAGCUAAAUAUUGGCCGGAGACCGAUAGCGCACAAGUAGAGUGAUCGAAAGAUGAAAAGCACUUUGAAAAGAGAGUUAAAAAGCACGUGAAAUUGUUGAAAGGGAAGCGCUUGCGACCAGACUCGCUCGUGGGGUUCAGCCGGCAUUCGUGCCGGUGUACUUCCCCGCGAGCGGGCCAGCGUCGGUUUGGGCGGUCGGUCAAAGGCCCUCGGAAGGUAACGCCCCCUCGGGGGCGUCUUAUAGCCGAGGGUGCAAUGCGACCUGCCUGGACCGAGGAACGCGCUUCGGCUCGGACGCUGGCAUAAUGGUCGUAAGCGACCCGUCUUGA